CCUACGGGGGGCUGCAGUCGAGAAUCAUUCACAAUGGGGGAAACCCUGAUGGUGCGACGCCGCGUGGGGGAAUGAAGGUCUUCGGAUUGUAAACCCCUGUCAUGUGGGAGCAAAUUAAAAAGAUCGUACCACAAGAGGAAGAGACGGCUAACUCUGUGCCAGCAGCCGCGGUAAUACAGAGGUCUCAAGCGUUGUUCGGAAUCACUGGGCGUAAGGCGUGCGUAGGCUGUUUCGUAAGUCGUGUGUGAAAGGCGCGGGCUCAACCCGCGGACGGCACAUGAUACUGCGAGACUAGAGUAAUGGAGGGGGAACCGGAAUUCUCGGUGUAGCAGUGAAAUGCGUAGAUAUCGAGAGGAACACUCGUGGCGAAGGCGGGUUCCUGGACAGUAACUGACGCUGAGGCACGAAGGCCAGGGGAGCGAAAGGGAUUAGAUACCCUUGUAGUC
rnacentral:rRNA from 1 species